GGCGGCAGCGCAGAAAGUGAUAUUGCACGCUUGCGCAGCCACGGGCUCCCUCUUCAACAGGCCUGGCAGCUUUCUGUACCGAAACUACAUUUCCCAGAGGUUACGGCGGGGACGUCACGGUUCCUCAGUGCAGCUAUACCCCUCCGUGCGCUAACCCUGCACGUGCGACUUUUGGUUCCGUUCUAGUCAGACUCAGUCUCCCUCAGCCCUGAAAUAACCCCUGGAAGGUACAGACCAGCGAGAAGUUGGCUACAGGAUAAAGUAGGUCGGUCGCUGGGAGCGAUUCGAGGACGGUCCCCGAGGACGGAGUAGGAGCGUGAAGUCUCUGGUGUCCAAAGGAGAUCUGCAGUAUGACACAAGAGAACUUAUCUUCAACACGAAUCCUCGUUGUUUAGAACAUGAGCUAUUUAAACCUUCUGAUGUCAAGGAGAAUACUUUGUCGUAUAUCAAGGAUUGACCCCUGACUAGAAGAUCUUGCAAAUUCGUUACCUCCACAUGUCCUCCUCUCAGUGAGGGUUUCUUCAUGAGUAACUGCCACUUGGCCCAGAUGUCUAUCCUGGUUUUUCUGUUGCCCAUCUAACCAAUUAUCAGGUUCCCAGGUUUCCCCUAAAGAAGAAUGCCAGAGACCUUCCCUUUCCAUUAUUACCCCAUAGGAUAUAUCUUCAGUAAUGUUGGGCUUUGUAGUUGAUUCUUUGGUUUCAAGUCUUGUCUUCCAAUCUGAAAAAAUA